AACGAACGCUGGCGGCAGGCCUAACACAUGCAAGUCGAACGCCCUAGCAAUAGGGAGUGGCGCACGGGUGCGUAACGCGUGGGAAUAUACCCUUCACUGCGGAAUAACGUUUGGAAACGAACGCUAAUACCGCAUAAUGACUCCGGUCCAAAGAUUUAUCGGUGAAGGAUUAGCCCGCGUUAGAUUAGCUAGUUGGUGAGGUAAUGGCUCACCAAGGCUACGAUCUAUAGCUGGUCUGAGAGGAUGAUCAGCCACACUGGGACUGAGACACGGCCCAGACUCCUACGGGAGGCAGCAGUGAGGAAUAUUGGACAAUGGGGGCAACCCUGAUCCAGCCAUGCCGCGUGAGUGAAGAAGGCCUUCGGGUUGUAAAGCUCUUUCAGUUGUGAAGAUAAUGACGGUAGCAACAGAAGAAGCCCCGGCUAAAUUCGUGCCAGCCGCCGCCGUAA
rnacentral:rRNA from 1 species